GAACCAGGCUACGAGAAGUGGAGCAACGUGUCUGAAGUCACACAGCAGUCAGUGAAAAGCCGGAGAGCCAAUCCCCCGUGCUGCCCAAUCCCAAAUCGGGUGUCGUUCCCACAGCAGCACAGACCCUGUGCUACGCUGACACGUCAGUGAGCCCGAGAGCCCGACGUCGCGGCCGGAUCUGAGCGGUGACAAAGGACCGCAGUCUGUGCUCGCCAGGCUUGCAGAGCGAGGGGGAUGGGGACGGUGAGGACGGCAGGUGAGGCUGGGAAAGCAGAGUGCCGUGCACUAGAAGCCAUGCCCAAAGCCCGGAGAAGCUGUCCCCAGCCCCAUCUCAAAGGUCCUGCCUGGUUCAAAGAACAAGAGGGUGGAGUCCAGGAGGAGGAGGAGAAAGAGCCCUGCCCAGGUGAUGUCCGGUCCUGGUGCGAGGGGCAGGUGCCCACUGACAUCUGUGUACCGAGAGCAACAUUAAAUGCUGGGCUAUGUACACACAGCAAGAAGCCGCGUGGAGCAGAAGGCACAGGGGUCCACACAGGCAGCCACUCGUGGGCUGUCACCUUACACAAAUUAGUGACAUUCCCGUGCUUGGAUUUCCUCAUCUGCGGGGGAAGCACAGCCGAAGGCCUCGAGAGACGAGCGACUGCAAAGCGACUGCAAAGCACAGCAAGAUCCCCUGGCCGAGAACACACCCUUCCCGGGUGCGUCUCUCCCCCCAAGCCUUUGCCUGCUCCAGGGUGACACGGGUAGUUCAGCUGGGCGCUGUCACCUGCACCACCACGCUGUCACUGGAGACUUCGCCCCCGAGCCGGCCAGGCGGGCCCAGCGAUGGCCCCCCCACCCCGGCGGUGUUCACACUUGCAGGGGGCUCUGGCCUGAGGCCCCGCCUCACCCUUGGCAGAGUCGUCGUAGCCAAUGUGCCUGAUGGCGCCUCUGACCACCCGCUGGUAGUCCACCGUGGCCGUGGACGUGAUCUCGCCGCAGAGCAGCACCAUGCCCGUCUUGCACACUGUCUCUGUGAGGGAGGGGGGAUGUCAGCGGCUGUGAGCCUGUGCGGGGGAGCCCCACUCCAAGGCCUCCCGCCCAGAGUCUUCCCAAGCCCGGGUUCCAGAAAUAAAAGAAUAAUGCUAACAAACAGACUA